CUCCGGUUGAUCCCUGCCGGACCCGACUGCUAUCAGAGUGAGAUUAAGCCAUGCGAGUCAACGCAGCAAUGCGUGGCAUACGGCUCAGUAACACGUAGUCAACAUGCCCAGGGGACGUGGAUAACCUCGGGAAACUGAGGAUAAACCGCGAUAGGCCAAGAUUUCUGGAAUGGAUAAUGGCUGAAAUCUAUAUGGCCCCUGGAUUGGACUGCGGCCGAUCAGGCUGUUGGUGAGGUAAUGGCCCACCAAACCUGUAACCGGUACGGGCUCUGAGAGGAGGAGCCCGGAGAUGGGCACUGAGACAAGGGCCCAGGCCCUAUGGGGCGCAGCAGGCGCGAAACCUCUGCAAUAGGCGAAAGCUUGACAGGGUUACUCUGAGUGAUGUCCGUUAAGGGCAUCUUUUGGCACUUCUAAAAAUAGUGUAGAAUAAGGGGUGGGCAAGUCUGGUGUCAGCCGCCGCGGUAAUACCAGCACCCCGAGUGGUCGGGACGAUUAUUGGGCCUAAAGCAUCCGUAGCCGGUUCUGCAAGUCUUCCGUUAAAUCCACCUGCUCAACAGAUGGGCUGCGGAGGAUACUACAGGGCUAGGAGGCGGGAGAGGCAAGCGGUACUCAGUGGGUAGGGGUAAAAUCCUCUGAUCCACUGAAGACCACCAGUGGCGAAGGCGGCUUGCCAGAACGCGCUCGACGGUGAGGGAUGAAAGCUGGGGGAGCAAACCGGAUUAGAUACCCGGGUAGUCCCAGCUGUAAACGAUGCAGACUCGGUGAUGGGUUGGCUUCGAGCCAACCCAGUGCCGCAGGGAAGCCGUUAAGUCUGCCGCCUGGGGAGUACGGUCGCAAGACUGAAACUUAACUCAAAUGGCGGGGGAACA
rnacentral:rRNA from 1 species